UACAGAGGGUGCGAGCGUUAAUCGGAAUUACUGGGCGUAAAGCGUGCGUAGACGGUCAAGUAAGUCGGGUGUGAAAGCCCCGGGCUCAACCUGGGAAUUGCAUUCGAGACUGCGUGGCUAGGGUGCGGAAGAGGGAAGCGGAAUUUCCGGUGUAGCGGUGAAAUGCGUAGAUAUCGGAAGGAACACCAGUGGCGAAAGCGGCUCCUGGUCCAGCACCGACGUUCAGGCACGAAAGCGUGGGGAGCAAACAGGAUUAGAUACCCGGUGU
rnacentral:rRNA from 1 species